GCGCAAAUGGUGUAUCGGUAACAUUGGGUCUUCCCAUGUCACUCAUUGAGGGAGUUUGAUGGCCUAGCACGGGGUUCGACUCCCCGUUUGCGCA